rnacentral:pre_miRNA from 1 species
UUUACAGUAUAAGUAUGUCUUGUGUAAUAAUUAGGACAUACUUACACUAAAA